UAUAUAUAUAUAUAUUUGAGCUUAAGAGA
rnacentral:piRNA from 1 species